rnacentral:lncRNA from 1 species
ACACACAGAGAGUAGAGGAUAGGGGUACACACACAGCGCAGAGGAUAGGGGUACACUCUCUCACAGCGUAGAGGAGAGGAGUACACACUCACACAGAGAGUAGAGGAUAGGGGUACACUCACAGAGCGUAGAGGAGAGGGGUACACUCUCUCACAGUGUAGAGGAGAGGGGUACACUCUCACACAGAGCGUAGAGGAGAGGGGUACACUCACAGAGCGUAGAGGAGAGGGGUACACUCUCACAGAGCGUAGAGGACAGGGUGUAGGCCCUGGAGCGUUCCCUCAGGAUGGGGGCUCACACGGAGAAGGAGGGUUACGCGCUCGUCCUGUCUCACUGCUGCGUGUGAGUAAAGCUCUGAAGGGCCCCUGGACUGGUCACUCCCUGUGUCCGCCUGCAUCAGCGCAGAGUGACCACUGGCCAGGACUGAGGCCACAGGGCUGA